rnacentral:tRNA from 1 species
UGCCGAUAUAGCUCAGUUGGUAGAGCAACGCAUUCGUAAUGCGGAGGUCGUAGGUUCAACCCCUACUAUCGGCAU